rnacentral:lncRNA from 1 species
UAGUUAUGAGCUGCAGUUGUCUAACAGAGGGAUCCAGCUAACCACACCUAUGUAGGAACACAGUUCUUUAUAAUCCUCCCAUUAAGCACACAUACCACCAAACAAUUAUGCUUCUGUAAAUGAGUUGUUUAAUAUGAUCUAAUUAAUAAAUAAACUAUAAUCAUACUAACAAAUAGCACUAUUACCACUAAUACUAUUGAUACUAGUAGUAAACAACAUUAGCAAACUUCAUAUGACACUAUCUUAAGGCCAUAAAAAGUCACUCCCUGCUCUCCGACUAUUCUCUACUCACCCCCACCACAAAGUGGCCAUCCCCUCACACCACAGGGCCUGCACUCCUUUCACCCAGCUAUGAGGGAUGUAAGUUCUCUGAAUGCUUACCGGUAUGAUUUAUCUAAGGCUAGGAGUGCCCAGAUUCCCAUUUCCACCUGUGCCAGACUGCUGAGGAACUGAGACUGCUCUGUCACUGCUGAGCAGGUGGCCACAGGGCAUCAGACAGCCACCCCACGGCAUGGAGCAGCCAGGCCUUGUCUAGACAAAGAAACAGGAGUACAGAGGUUGAGCUGACUUGUGGAUAUUUACCUAAACUAGGAAAAGGAAGCAAGAGAGCUGGUUUCAAGUAUCAUUUCUGAGUGGCUAGAAAAUGCUUAUAUGAUAUGCGUAAUGCAUUUUUUUGUUUGUUUGUUUGUUUCUGCUUCUAGAGAAACACUGGUAGAGGCCAUGGUCUCUUUUAAGCUGGCAUAAGCUUAUGUUUGAGUUGAAGACAGACUUUGAAAGACUUUGAAGAAUGUAUUGAUGUUUUCUAUCAUAUGUAUCUCAACAUGUCAUUAGAUAGAUUGCUCUUGCUUUAGAAAUAUUUAUUUUUUAUGGUUUUAAUUGGUAUUGAUGGGUAUUUAAUUGGCAUGAAUGGAUUAUGUUCAGUACUAUUAUUUAAAGUAAGAUGAAUUAAUUGUUCAUAGUUUGUUCAAGGUCAUAAAUCUCAUUGCAAAGUUACACUAGAAACUAAAUGUUUAACUUGCACUACAAUUAAAACUGUAUUUGAGGAAUAUGUAUAUUAAAUAUGAAGCAAUUAACACAUAAUAGAUGAUCAUAGAAUGGCUUGGUUUCGAAGGGACCUUAAAAAGAGUUCCAACCCCCUGCCAUGGGCAGGGACACCUCC